AAUGCUUGGGAAUCUGCCCAAUAGUGGGGGACAACUCGGGGAAACCCGGGCUAAUACCGCAUAAUCUCUACGGAGGAAAGAGGGCCUCUACUUGUAAGCUCUCGCUAAUGGAUGAGCCCAAGUCAGAUUAGCUAGUUGGUAGGGUAAUGGCUUACCAAGGCUACGAUCUGUAGCUGGUCUGAGAGGAUGAUCAGCCACACUGGGACUGAGACACGGCCCAGACUCCUACGGGAGGCAGCAGUGGGGAAUAUUGCACAAUGGGCGCAAGCCUGAUGCAGCAAUGCCGCGUGUGUGAAGAAGGCUCUAGGGUUGUAAAGCACUUUCAAUAGAGAAGAAAAGCUUGAAGUUAAUACCUUCAAGCCUUGACGUAACCUAUACAAGAAGCACCGGCUAAUUCCGUGCCAGCAGCCGCGGUAAUACGGGAGGUGCGAGCGUUAAUCGGAAUUACUGGGCGUAAAGCGAGCGUAGGCUGUUAAAUAAGUCGAAUGUGAAAUCCCCGGGCUUAACCUGGGAACUGCACUCGAAACUAUUUAACUAGAGUAUGGGAGAGGAAAGUAGAAUUUCCGGUGUAGCGGUGAAAUGCGUAGAUAUCGGAAGGAAUACCAGUGGC
rnacentral:rRNA from 1 species